AAACGGUGCAAAGACAUCCUCUGCAUCACCCGUCACUCAUGGCUCCUGAGUGUCCUUCAGUGUUGUUGUUGCUGUUCUUUAGUCACCAUGGCAACCAGACCUGAGGCUGUUCUUAUAAACUCACCUGCUUCUCUGAAACUGAACCAGUGUGACGACAACCCUGGAGGAACGUGCUUCAGUUUGGAGGCUGGACGUGAUGCGACUGUUUUUCCAUUUAGUGCAUCUUCUUCUGCUGGAAACUGAAAGUACUUGAGGGCUGGAAAUUUACAUCCUUUGACAGCCGCCUCGUUUCAUUCCCACGUGAGAUCGGAGGCGAAAAGGUGAGACGUUCACAGAGUCGUAGAAGCAAACAUCAGAGAGAGAUAAGAAUCACUCAGCUGUGACAUUAAACACUUGACCUGGAAUCAUCGGAGCACUGAAAGGAAACAUGUAGCGAUGAUGUCAUCUGACAAACCGGUUUCCUGACAAGAAAUCAAACACGACAGCUCAAAGACUGAAGACGUCUGAGGGAGUCGCUGACAGAACGCUGCCGUGAGUUCAACAGGUGGAUCAGAACUCACCUGGACUCUGACAGCCAAUCAGAGAGUUCAACAGGUGGAUCAGAGCUCACCUGGACUCUGACAGCCAAUCAGAGAGUUCAACAGGUGGAUCAGAGCUCACCUGGACUCUAACAGUCAAUCAGAGAGUUCAACAGGUGGAUCAGAACUCACCUGGACUCUGACAGCCAAUCAGAGAGUUCAACAGGUGGAUCAGAGCUCACCUGGACUCUAACAGCCAAUCAGAGACUCCGGCAUAAACAGCAGAGCAACGCUUCAAUCGUUUCCGGUGUCUGUGAUGAACUGUUGUUUCUCUGACAGUGAGGAGAUGAUGUGCAGGAUUCUGCUGCUGCUCAGCUUCAGCUCCAGUGUCUCUGGAGUCCUGUCCUUUAACAAGGCUUUACACUAUGAGGCUGAGGAGAACAGCAACGUCACCGUGGAGUGGAGCUUCGCCUUGACAACCGGCCUCAGCAUCUCCUCCCUGAAGAUCCACUGUUUGCUGCUCCCUGACCUGCAGGUGUUUUAUCACCUGGACCACAGCGUGGAGGAGCCUCAGCACCAGCGGUUUGCUGGACGGGUCCAAUGCGACACAGAGGCUCUGACUGCAGGACGAGUCCGGCUGCUUCUGUCCAGGACCAGGACAGACGACUCGGGCCGCUACCUGUGCAGGAUGGUCACCGGGUUUGGCAAGGAGGUCAGAGAGUUCUGGCUCAACGUCACCGCUGCAACAGUCAGAACCACACCUGAACCUCCCAGUGCGGUCAGAACCUUGCUGCUGGUUGCCAUGGCAGCAGGGGUGGUGGUUCUGUUGACCUCCUGCUGCCUGGUGCUCCACUGACGUCCGAUCUGAGUCUAACGAGGAUCUGGCGCCCUCUUGCUGCUCCAGAAGGAACCUGCAGGUGAGUCACACCUGGCUCUGCUGCAGAAGCUUCACCGCAGAGUUGUGGUUCUGGACCGACCCGGUUCCGUGGAGGCGGGACCGCAGCGUUCUUGUUUACCUGCCUGGAGGAGCUCUUGAAGCUCAGGUGAUCACAGAUGUUCUCGCUGAUGUUUAAAAGUGAAACCGGUUUACGGGGACUUUGGUGUAAAUGUGAAUGUUUUCAGACAGAAUUCACUAAAUCUGUUCCUCAACUUUCUGUGAUCCUCUUCGGUUUACGUUUUCCAUAUCUGGGUUUUCACGUGUUGGUUAAAUAAACGUUGCAGUAACCGUUCUGUAAUCUUCAUGUCAGUGGAUCAUGGAUUGUAAAUACAUAAAGUAAUGAUACAAGUCUUCACCUGAAUAAUCAACACUGACUUUAUGUUUUGGAAUAUUUAUACUUUGUCUGUCGAUAAAUGUACUUUUUUUCUUUUAAAUAUUAAAAAAAAUGCUUUUAUUGCAAGUAGUGCUUUUAUUUUCAGGCUACAUUUCUCUUUUAAUGCUGCAGUAAGGGGACCAAGCAAACAUACACGAGGAUUUGUUUUGAUAGUUGCCUUUUUUUUGUUGCAUGAAUAAAAACCAGAUUUGGUGUUUAGAGUGUGUCACCUGGAGUGGAUGUAAAACUGGUCUGGUGUCAGUUUUAACCAGAACUCUGAUGUGUUUGUCUUCCUAAAAUGCCAUGUGUCUGACUCCUCGUCACACUUUGAAUCAGAAAACAAAGAUUAUGACUUCUUGAUGAACAACAUCCUCAUCUUCGGGACAUUUUAUAUACACAAAUGCAAAUCCAUGAUGGUAAAUCCUAGAUUUUAUGUGUUUCAUGAGGAGUUUCUGUCCUUCACUAAAGCCCUUAAAAAUGAAGUCUAAACAUGCAAUGAAACUGUUCAAUGUGAUUGAGAAUUACGAUCUGCAAAAAAACGCCUUAGCUCUAUGUUUUGUUCUGUUUUAUUUAUAUUUAUUUAUUUUUUUUCCUUUUUUGCUUUGAUUCUAUUUCAUUCUCUGACUGCGCUUCAUAUAAUUUUCAAGAACUGCCUCUUUUAAUAGAUUUAUAUAAUAUUUUACUGCACUGGAAGCACCUGUUCGUUAUAAAAAAUGCCUUUGUAGAGACUGUAUUCUACAGUGUUUUGUUAAAUGAUUUUGUCAAUAAAGG
ensembl:lncRNA